GUCUCACUCUUUCGCCCAGGCUAGAGUGCAGUGCAGCGACCUCGGCUCACUGAAGCCUACCCCUCCGGGUUUAAGUGAUUCUCCUGCUUUAAAAAUCAUCAUAUGGGAAUCAAACAAACAGAAGAAUAAGAGGAAUAACAUAUACCCUUUCUUAAAAAAACAUGGGAUAUUAAACGAUAUGAGAAAUGAAAAGCUGAUUCUAAAAUUCAUAGAGAAUUGCAAGGAACACAGAAGAAUGAAGAGUAUCUUUAAAAAGGACAAAACUGGAGGUCUCACACUUCUCAAUGCCUGAAUUUACUAGUAAACUACACUAAUCAAACAGUGUGGUAUUAUCAUAAACAUAGACAGACAUGGAUCAAUGAAAUAGAACUCAGAGUCCAAAAAUAAAACAACAUAUUUAUGGUCAAUUGAUUUUCAAGAGAAUUGGUAAAAACUCUUAAUGAGAAAAAAAUAUUUUCAAUAAAUGGUACUGAGACAACUAAAUAUUCACAAGUAAAAGAAUAAAUUUGGACCUCUACAUUAUGUCAUAUAUAAAAAUUAAAUCAAAAUGGAUCGAAGACUUAAAUGUAAGAGCUGAAAAUAUAAAAUUCAUAGAAGGAAAUAUAUGUGUAAAUCUUCAACACUUUACGUUAGCCAGUGGUUGUUGAAACAUAGCACAAAAGACACAAUCAACCAAGAAAAAAAUAAACUGUACUUCAUCAAAAUUAAAAACAAUUUUUCCAUCAUUGGACACUACAAAGCAAUGGAAAAGAUAACUCAUGGAAUUAAAAAAUAUAUUUCCGUAUUAUAUAUCUGAUAAAAGUCUAGUAUCCAGAAUAUGUAAAGAAUUCUCACAAAUAACAACUAAAAGAUAAACAGCUAAUUUCAAAAAUGCGGCUGGGCACAGUGGGUUACAACUGUAAUCCCAGAGCUUUGUGAGGUUGAGGUGGGAGGAUUGCUUGAGGCUAGGAGUUUGAGACCAAUCUGGGCAACAUAGCAAGACCCUGUCUCUACAAAAAUACCUUUAAAAAAAAUUAGCCAGGUGUGGUGGUGGGUGCCUGCAGCCAUAGCUGCUCAGAAGGCUGAGGUGGGAAGACUGCUUAAAUGCAGGAGUUCAAGGUUGCACUGAACUAUAAUAUGCCACUGCACUCCAGCCUGGCCGACAGGGCAAGACUCUAUCUCAAAUAAUAAUUUAAAAAAAUGAGCAAAGAACAUAGACAUUUUUCCAUAAAUAUAUAAAGUCAAUAAGCAUCUGAAACAAUGGUUAAUAUCAUUAGGUCAUUAAGAAUUCAAACAAAGAACUACUCUAAACCCACUAGGAUAGCAAGAUGAAGAAGAUAAUAAAAGAAGGAAGAGGAGGAGAGGGGGAAAAAGAGGAAGAGAAGGAUGGAGAAGGCAAAGGGAGGAGAAAAAGGUGGAGGAGGAGAAAGGGAGGAAGAAGAUAAUAAGAAGUGCUGGCAAGGAUGUGGAGAAACUGGAAUGUUUAUACAUUACUGAUGGGAAUAUAAAAUGGUGCACUUGCUGUGGAAAACAGUAUGGCUAUUUCUCAAAAAGCUAAAAGUAGGGUUAUAUCAGAUAACUCAGAAAUGUCACUCCUAGGUGUAUGCCCAAGAGAAUUAAACACAUAUGUUUACAUAAAAACUUGUAUACAAAUGUUGAUAGGAGUAUUAUUAAUAAUAGUCCCAAAUUAGGCACAAUCAAAGUGUCCAUCAAAUGAUGAGUGGAUAAACAACUGUGGUAAAUGCAUACAGCAGAAUAUUAUUUAACCAAAACAGAAAAAGUAAUGAUACAUGCUACAGUGUGGAUGAACUUAAAACCAUGCUAAGUUAAAAAGCCAGUCAAUAAAGUCCACAUGUUAUAUGAUCCAUUUACAUAAAAUAUCCAGAAUAGUCAAAUUUAUACAUGCAGAAACUAGAUUAAUAAUAACAGGGGCUUGGAGUAGAAGGAAUAGUGUGUGGCUGUUUAUUAGGUGUAGCUUAUUUUUUUGGGGUGAUAAUAUUCUGGAAGAUAGUAGUAAUUAUUGCACAACAUUCUGCAUAUACUACAAACUGUCAAAUUUCACAAUUUAACAUGGUUAAAAUGCUAAAUCUUAUGUAAAUUUUACCCUCCUUUAUUUUUUAAUAAAAUGAAUUGUAUUAAUUUAUUUACUGUUCUUACCAUAUCAGAGUAUUGACUAUACCCAGUUGUACAUUCCUUUUUUUUAGAUGUAUACUUAGCAUGUACACAUAAGUGUGUGAGGGUAGGAACUAUCUCAAUGGUUUUUAGAGUUAGAUUAUUCAUUUGUAACAAUAUAUCUGAUGUAUCAUGGGAUCUUAAUAAAUGUUUGUUGAGUGAAAAAUAAAU
rnacentral:lncRNA from 10 species